CAGUCGCCGCGGGAAUACGAAGGGGGCUAGCGUUGCUCGGAAUCACUGGGCGUAAAGGGUGCGUAGGCGGGUCUUUAAGUCGGGGGUGAAAUCCUGGAGCUCAACUCCAGAACUGCCUUUGAUACUGAAGAUCUUGAGUUCGGGAAAGGUGAGUGGAACUGCGAGUGUAGAGGUGAAAUUCGUAGAUAUUCGCAAGAACACCAGUGGCGAAGGCGGCUCACUGGCCCGAUACUGACGCUGAGGCACGAAAGCGUGGGGAGCAAACAGGAUUAGAUACCCCUGUAGUCCCUGUCUCUUAUAU
rnacentral:rRNA from 1 species